rnacentral:tRNA from 1 species
UGGGGCGUCGCCAAGCGGUAAGGCAACGGGUUUUGGUCCCGUCAUUGCGAAGGUUCGAAUCCUUCCGUCCC